GGCUUCCCUUUUCGUCCACGCCCUCAGGAGCGGUAGCACUUUCCCGGAAAGUUGUGGGGCUGCGGGUCUAAAGUUUCGGGGGCUAGGGGCCGAAGGUGGCCGCCGCUCCGCCUCCCUCCGCCGCCAUUUACUGCGCCCCGGCCCGGCCUCGACGCGCCCGCACCAACACUGACAGCGGCGGCCGCGCUCCAGACCCGGAUGUGAGGCCGGGAGGAGAGAGCGCGAGAGGGAGAGAGAAACACCCACCGGGCGGCUCGGCCGCUCCCGGGAGAGGAGGCCGCAGCGCCCCCUGGUGGCAGGCGCCGGGCGCGGGGUGGCCGGCCGCCGCCGGGUGCUGGCCGCAGGAGACCCCGCGAAGAGGACCCGGGGAAGAGCCGGCGGCUCCUGAGGACCAGGGCAACUGGGGCACUGGAUUGGCCAAAGCUUGUUCGUGUCUCAGGAUGCUGGAGGAACUCUGCCUGUCCCUAAUGCUCUGUGAGGCUUUCCUAACCUCACAGGGAGUGGAGUGGUAGGAAUCUUCUCAUUGGCGACCAAGACUGAGCCAAAGAGAAAAAGUCACAGGGUCCACACAUCCUACUCCGGGCUCAGAACUGUGUCGCUGUGACAUAGCUAAAGGUACCAGAAAGACCAGAAUCCUCAGUACAAGUGAGACCUGCUGUGAUGCCUCCCUCGGAACAAUGGUGAUGAAAGUCAACAUCAGCAGCACAUCACCUACACUCCUGGGGCAAGACCAAGAGCAAGAGAUGAGCUGUGGGGGUCUGGCACUGUGGUUCCUGCAGGACAUCACUUCCGCCUCACAGGAAAGUCCCCCAUGGGAAGACUGAAGGCGCUGGAAGACCAAUAGAAAAGCACCAAGCAGCCUAUGUAAAUGGAUUGAUUCGUGUAAAGAAAGGACAAACAACAGCAACAGAAUCAGGCUCCCUCCAAACCGCCGCACUGAUGGGGCAGGAGCCAGGUGCUUCUCCUGGUCUCCCAUGGGGUGCAGGGCCCAAGCACUUGGGCCAUCCUCCACUGCACUCCCAGGCCACAGCAGAGAGCUGGCCUGGAAGAGGGGCAAAUGGGACUAGAACCCAGUGUGCCAGCGCUGCAGGCAGAGGAUUAGCCUAUUGAGCCGCAGUGCCUGCCUUCAGGCUCUCUCUUCUAAGAGCUUACUCAGACGCAACCAGAUGGGUCCUCCUGGCCACCAGCACCUCUCUCACAGACCCACUUUCCAGGAUGGAGGAAGGCUGUCCCGACUUCAGAGAAGCAGCCUGUCCCUGUGACCGUCCCUCCUUGUCACAUACUCUUCCGUGGCGGCAGAAGCUCAGAAAGACAGGGGAGCCUGCAGGAAGGGGAGCCUGCCUUCUCAGCCCCUGCUGGACACUUACUGGGUGGGCUGGGUGGCAGGAGGUUUGAGGGUUUCACAAGGGAAUGAGAUUUUUCUCUGUAUCUGUCACUUGAAUUUAUAUUUCUAGGUAAGAGGGGAAAGAAAUACAAUAACACAUGGACCCUUUGAGGUCAAGUCUAAUUCCUUUCCUAUAAAUUUCCAGACAUACCCAUUUUUAAAAGUGACAUCAUGAAAAAGCUAUUUUAAAACAGAUGGUCUAUAUUAUACAGCUACAGAUUAAAGAUGUUGGCUUUCAGGUAAGAUCAAACAGUUACUUACUGCCAGCAAAUACAUGGACUGUUAAAAAAAAAACUGGUAAUUCUCAUUUACUUUUUAGAAUAAAUUACAUGUGUUGAAAUUCCUUGUUCCUGGU
ensembl:lncRNA